CUCACUAAUAAAAUACCCAGACCAAAUUAAUUUUGCGCCAUAACCUUCAAGUAUUUGGCGCGAGAACCCUUCCUCAGAGCCAAGGUCAACAGGCUCCUCCCUCAGCCGUGUAGCUCCCGUGCACGAAGGUGAAGUAGAAGGGGUCGUCCGAGUUUUCUCCUUCUGCCGCGCAUGUGUGUGACAUCGUCGGCAUCAUCCCAAUCCAUCCGUCCGUGUGUCAUCCUUGGCAGCCUUCUCCCCUUUGGCGGUGCUUCGCGUUUCCGAUUGCAAUAGACUCCCCUCUCAGUGGUUCUCUGACGAGUGGGUAUAUCAAAGCUCUUGAAUAAUUUACUUGGGGUGUAUUCCUGUACCUGCAACUGUGACAGAUUUUGAAGGCAAGACAGAUCUCAACAUUCGUGCUUUAGAGGUUGUGGAAGAACUUAGAACUAAAAGAGCAGACAAGCAGUCCAUGCUCCUGUUAGUGGCUUUUAACAAAGACAAGGCAGCUUUACCUCAACCUCUGCUAAUUAGAAUUUAGGUGAAAAUAAAUACAACCUCA